rnacentral:tRNA from 1 species
CGAGCAGGGGCUCAGUGGUAGAGCUCUCGCUUCAUAUGCGGGAAGAUCUGAGCUCGAUUCCGAGCUGCUUAC